rnacentral:rRNA from 1 species
AUGUACGACCAUAGGUACUGGAGAACUCGGGAUCCCGUCCGCUCUCCCAUCGAUAAGCCAGUAACCGCCAGACCAGUACUCGGGUGGGUGACCACCGGGGAAUCCCUGGUGUUGUACGUU